AAAUCCUUAUAUUUUGAAUGAAACAAACAAACACAUCCUAAAUCCAGAGCAAAAUAUCCCCAGAGCAGCAAAUCAUGUCCAUGCUGAUGAGUGGAGACAACAGGAACUUCUGCCAUAUAAAAGCAAAACAAAGUGAAAAGAGGAGCUGUAUGUCCCAGCACAGGCUCAACCUGUGCAUCGUAAAGAAGAACUUCUGCUUUAACAGACAGACUCAGAAUACUCUAGGAAAGUCUGGCACCUCUGUCCCGGAGCACCUGAGGACAAAGCAUUGUCUGCUCACACAGAACUACUACAGCAGUCCCUUUGCCAUGGAUGGAGGCAGGCUUAGACUUGGUGACAUUUUCCAUGUGGAGACAGCAAUGCUCAGCCUUCACCUCGCUUUGACCGAUGCCUGAUGAUAGGAGUUAGAGAUGAAAUUGCUGUGAGAAUGAUGAAAUUUGGCUCUUUGAAGCUUCUCAAGGCUGGACACAUCUCAAGCAUCAUCUGCAUUCAUCACCAGACCAAAUAAGAAACGUCUCUGCAAGGAGAUACAGCAGUGAUGCAGCAACAGGAGUGCCCCUGGGAUGUUCCUGGCACUGCAGCAGCAGCAGCAACAGUGGCUUGGAAGACCUUUGGCUUGCUUCCUUCCAAGAGGCUGAAGUGACUCACUCAGAUCCUCCUCUGGGAAGAAAUCACAAUACUUAAGACUCAGAAGGAAAGCCAAAGGGAAAAGACUUCAAAACCAAUGAUUCAACAUGGGACCUGCUGCCAGGAUCCCCAGCCACCCAGUGCCAGAUCCACUGUCUGAAUGAAAGCCUGGCACAGAGAUUCCUGCUGCGCCUGUUACUGAGUUUCCUCCUCUGUGCCCAAGAGUCACGUCUUCCCAGGUGAUAAGCAAGCACUGCUAGAAGAGGGUAAAGUGUGCACCAAAGAGCCUCUCAUGCAGUGCAAUGCCAUACUCAAGAUGCUGAGAGCCUGAGUGAAAGAUGGAGCCACUUCCAAGAGGAUGAAGAAAAGGCUGAGCUGGUCCAGCUAGUCCACAUGCAGAAGAAAGUGUUGAGAAAGAGAAACCAAGAGGAAGAACAAAAGAGCCAAAUCUGGGCUUUGAGGACAGCAAGGAUGCUGGACUUGUAGUGACUGUCUGUUGAGAUGAUACCAUACCUCUGCCAUCUGGGGCCACUGAGAAAUCUUCACUGGAUUAUCAGUUAGAAAAAACUUUCCUGAUUAACUUUGCCAAAUGACUGACCCUACACAGGCUACGAACCCUCCAUGCUCUCAAGGCUGUAACUCAUUUUUCCUGAGUUGAGGGUCGCUUCAUUUCAUGCGGGUAUCAGUUUUCAAACCUCAAACAGCUCUGGAGGUUCGGAGAAGCAUCCUGGAGUUCAGAUGCUUGUCUGAACUACUUGAGUUUGCACAACAGGGCCAGCUGUCUUGCCAAAAGGGACACUCUUGUGAGACAGCAGGCACUUCCUGGAUCUGCAUGGGCCAGAGUUACUGCAAGAACUGGGGUUCUUGUGUUGGCUUUGGUGUGGCUGCUUCCAUCCAGACCCAGGGAGUGCAAAAGGUGCAUGAAAGACAACGUGUGAAUUGAACCAAGCCUUUUUGCAAGACAGUUUGGUUCACAUCUCAUUUGAAAGGAUCCAGUUGGUUCCUCUCUCUUCCAGAGCCAACUGUCCUGGGUAUGUGUGUGUGUGUGUCAGUGUGGGUGUGUAUGUUUUGAGCCAACAAAUCUACUUAACCAAAUUCUGGGUUGUUCUGUUGUGUUUAAACUAAGCCAAUGGAACUUAAUGUGCAUUCCAACAUUGCUCAACAAAAAUGUCCAGGACUAGAAAAUUAUGUGAAAACAUGUAAAAGUCAACUUGGUAGGCAUCAUCCCAAGGUCAAUAUGAAGUUUGAUUUUGAGGUGCUUAGUUUCUACAGUCUUUCUCAAGGGACCUAACUGCCUCAAUAAGCAUUUUCUAUAUCCAUAGACUUUCCAAUGAAUUAGCCUGCCUGUUCUACUUGAUUUGGUCCUGAGCUUUAUACAUUUUGAACUGACUUUGUGGAAUGUGCACAAGUGAAUAUCCUUGGCUGAUUUUAUUUCAGUUAUUGCUCCUAGCUGACUGGAGCUUUACUUGUAGCACCCUGGUUUAUAUUACCAGCUUCUCCAGGAAGGACUGGUAGUUUGUUUCGCUGGGGCAAAGUCAUGUGAAUGAAGAAGUGUGUAUGUGUUGUGCCUGUGAAACUUUAGCGAAUUUCAACGACUGGAUUUUUGUUCCUUAGGCAAUUUUACAUCUGAUUCUGACAAAACUACCUUAGAGUUUUUAUUUUUACUAGAAAUAUUAUUAAUUCAAACAACCUUGUACAAAAGGCAAACACAUUGAAUCACUGCAGGUUAUAGGGGUUGAAGCCAAAGGUCUUUGUAAGCCGACAUCACUUGCCCUAGAUCUGACUGUAUCAGACAGCUUAUUCCUCACAUGUUAUGUUGGAGUUACAAGAUCACACCAAGCCACUAGAACCUGUCAAUAGAAUAGUGCUACACUUUAUUUGCUAUUGUAGCAAAGCCUUUUGUAGAUUUAUACAAUAAAAUUUUGAAAUACCUGCU
rnacentral:lncRNA from 7 species